rnacentral:rRNA from 1 species
UACGUAGGGGGCAAGCGUUGUCCGGAAUUAUUGGGCGUAAAGAGCGUGUAGGCGGUCCGGUAAGUCAGCUGUGAAAGUCAAGGGCUCAACCCUUGAAUGCCGGUUGAUACUGUCGGGCUAGAGUCCGGAAGAGGCGAGUGGAAUUCCCGGUGUAGCGGUGAAAUGCGCAGAUAUCGGGAGGAACACCAAUGGCGAAGGCAGCUCGCUGGGCCUGUACUGACGCUCAUGCACGAAAGCGUGGGGAGCGAACAGG